GCGCCUGUAGCUCUGUUGGUAGAGCGGUGAAACGGCAAUCCAGUCUCGGGUUCAAGUCCCGGCGGUCGCU